GGCACAAUCAUAUCAUUACUUGUUAAAAAUGUCGACCUUGACUCGAAACAGGAUAAGGAUGAAAUGGAUCGAUGACGAACCAAUAUUCCCCUACUACAAAAAUUAAAAUAAAAUAAAAAAUCAGUGCCAUGGUAUUGUUCCCGGUCGUAAACACUGAACUGCUCAGAGCAUCUGCUUGCAUCAGAUGCGGAUCAUACCAUCAGGAGUCAGAUGACAGAGCACUCCAACGCAAUGCAACGAGUACGUGCUGUGUACUGCUGGUGAGUUGGCCACUCGCUUUCAUGGGGUGGUGAUGCCUUCGCCCUUGGGACUUGGGGAAGAGACCAAAACCACGUGUGCACACGAAUUGUCAGUUUGUCCCGCCCGUUGUCACCACGUAACAGAUGCUGUUUCUGAUGUAUCGCCAUGGAAAAAGAUGAUGGCUUGAUGAGCUCGGAGAGUGUAUUAUAAUCUCAAAGGCAUGCAUCAAGUGCUGUACCAAACAAUGCAGCGGAAAAAAGACGAUCGCGCCUGAUUAUCUCAACAUUAUCAAUGCAAUCCUCGUUUUAAUUUAGUGUCAGAAAACAAAAGGCACUUUCGCAGGCCAUCAUAGUCAUCAGGAAGAUGCAUGAUACGUACCAGGCACAUUGGAUGGUCACACGAAC
rnacentral:lncRNA from 1 species